rnacentral:misc_RNA from 1 species
GUGAAUGUCAAAAGGGUACUACCAGUUAUCUAUAACAAAGUAUGAUUUUGUAUCAUGAAACAUGGUUAGACAUAAGCAGGCUUUACAUCUUCACCCAGGCAGUUCAGCACAACCAUGGGCUGCAAGAUCAUAAAAAUGACCUUUCUUUUUGGAAAUCUAUGAGAUGAGCUACAUAAUAGAAGGCAACUCUCACUUUUCCUGCAAUUGAGUUUGGAGAAAGUUAACCUGAAACUUUCUAAUAGAGGCGCUGAAUAUUUACCUCAAUAUGGCUUCCAAAACCACACACAUAUAUAUGACUCGAUUAAAGUUUUAGAAAAUGAGAAAUCAUGCAGAAAACAGAUAAUUUCAAUCUGCAUCAGCUAUCCUGCAGGAAUGAAUCAUAACAUUUGACUGGUCCAACCAAACCAAGGGCUUCUGUAAGUGCCUCUAAGAGAUGCUCUGGAUAAUCCUCAAUACAAGCAAGGCCAUGCUGUGAUUGCAUGGAUCUUAAGACCCUUCCAACAAUCUUGCGUGCAUAGCCACCAUAAGCUAUCCCACCAAUUAAAGCAUUUGCGGAAUAAGGCGAUGAGGCCACUGAUUUAUUGUCUUCAGCAACUAAUGCUGUUUGAAAGAGUCCCUCCCUUUUUAGCCCAUCAACAGUCUGUGCAUUUGUGCCACCUGCCAAUUGAAAAAAUCCUACCAGCACAGGAAGGUGAAAUACAGGCUUAAUUCACACACAUCAUCAGCUGAGAACAGCUCAAAAUGACCAUAAACUUUUACACAAAGCUAGUGGUUUUCACACAAACCAUGAGGCUUGCUGUUGGCUGCAGCCAAACGGACAGCAAAUGCAAUUGACUCCCUUGUGGUACCUCGGCCAAUAUCUCCACUCAUGGGGCGGCCAUCCAACUGCCAUAAAUUGAGGCAUUUUAACUGAGGUUCCAUGACUGAGUACAUUGCGUUCAUUGCAGAUACAGUUGAAUCCCCAGUAUAGGGUAAGCUAACUGCAAUUAGUUUCAGACAUCCAAGUGAGUUUCCCAAACCAUCCCAAAGUUCCUUGAAGGAAGCCAUCUGCCUUCCACUUGUAUGUAUCUCUAUGGCCUCAACAUCAUUUCUUUUAAUAAGUUCAGCAGUAGCAGUAGCAUCUCUCACAUAUGUAGCCUCUCUUAUUUUAUCAUAGGGGCACACAGGAAAGCAACGGCCACAGCCAUAACAGCGUUCAGUUAUGACUCCACCCUUUAACACAUUUAGCAUUUCUGUACCAUAGGAGAAAUGUGCUGGUGAUUUGUCUUCUUCUAAUGAUAUUGCGUUUGCAGGACAAACAUUCUCACAAGGCCUUGAACAAUGCGGUGGACAUUCCUCUGGAUCAAAUUCGGCUUUGCGAAAGUGAAGAUCCUUAUCGUCAUUGACGCUAAUCAUUACCCAAGGCCUUCGAAUGUGAACAAUUUUUCUUGCAGCUUGAAUACCGUCAUUUACAGCACUAACCACUGAUUCAUCAGCAGCACAAUCAAUGCAAUCAACUCCGGCUAAAGUGUAAACCAAAGAGAGAUUCCUGAUAUCAACAGCAUCCUCAAAGCUUGCACCGCAUAUAAGCUUGACCCAGUUGCCCUUUUGCAGUGAUUCCUGUGGAGCACACACAACUGAAGGAACCUCAAAUUUUCUCACAAGGUUUCUGACACUUUCAAGACAUCUACUGUUCCUGUGACCUGCUUUUCCUUGCUGUUGAGGUAAAACUGUAGCAUUAAUGCACAAGCUGAAGGCCAU